AUUGAACGCUGGCGGAAUGCUUUACACAUGCGAGUCGAACGGCAGCACGGGGGCAACCCUGGUGGCGAGUGGCGAACGGGUGAGUAAUACAUCGGAACGUGCCCAGUCGUGGGGGAUAACGUAGCGAAAGUUACGCUAAUACCGCAUACGAUCUAUGGAUGAAAGCGGGGGACCGUAAGGCCUCGCGCGAUUGGAGCGGCCGAUGUCAGAUUAGGUAGUUGGGGGGGUAAAGGCCCACCAAGCCGACGAUCUGUAGCUGGUCUGAGAGGACGACCAGCCACACUGGGACUGAGACACGGCCCAGACUCCUACGGGAGGCAGCAGUGGGGAAUUUUGGACAAUGGGCGCAAGCCUGAUCCAGCCAUUCCGCGUGCAGGACGAAGGCCUUCGGGUUGUAAACUGCUUUUGUACGGAACGAAAAGGUCCUGGUUAAUACCCGGGGCUCAUGACGGUACCGUAAGAAUAAGCACCGGCUAACUACGUGCCAGCAGCCGCGGUAA
rnacentral:rRNA from 1 species